UCUGUAUUAUAAACCAAAUUUAUUAAAAGUAGGACUAUAUGUUUCCAUAAUCUUAUGGUAAAUACUCUAAAAGAGUUGUACAUAACAUGUAUAAUGUCUCUGAUAUUUAACACUCAUAAAUAUUGUACGUAAACAGAAUAAAAUUUUCUGAACCAAAUUUAAAUUCUGCUCUUCUAAAUAGGGUUUUAAACGUUUAGCAAUGAUUUUGUGCGUGUGACAUUCGCUUUUAAGGCAAUGCACCGUCACAUUUCUUUCAUUCACGCGUUGUUUUUAGCUAUUAAUAUACGGUAUAUCCACUACUGUUUGCUGCACUGCCCAUAUGGAUAUUUCUUUCAUUAACAAGAUAUAAAAAAUAUGUGGUAAGGGGUGUGGACGCUAGCUUGGAAUUACACUACCGUCCAUGAACAGGCUUUAUUAAAAACCGAGCAUGCAGCAUUUUCAAUUUGCCGAUUACGUUUUUCUCUAUUUUAGAAUUGUUGCUUAUCUCAAACACGUAUAUACCAUAAUUAUAUUUACCAGUAUGCCUUCAUUAGCAUUAUUUACACAUGAUAUUUAUCUAUUUACCAUGUUCAAGUAUGACGACAAUGAUGCAAAGGAAGCAGAUAGAACUGGAUUAAAUGUCGUUAACAUUGCAUGUGCAAACAGGAAAGGUACACGAGUAAAGAAUCAAAGAUCUGUUCAGUCUCCCUUGGGUGGUGGUGGUCACUGGACUGGAGAUGUGAUAUGUCCACGAAGUAAUGGCAUUCCCCUGUUCUUGCAAAAGUUUCGAGUUAAUGGUCCAUGAGCCAAAACAGUCAGAAGACGACACUAAGGCAAAUGUUGUUCGUUUUACGUGUCGUGAUUCACACUGGAAGCAGCAGCCGAAAAACAUCGAAAAACAUAUUGCUGGUGCAAAAGGUCAGUUCGGAAAAUCGAGUGAAAAGUGUCCAAAGGAUUCCGCAAUCUGUGGGCUACAAUCUCGUGUGGAGGGUCAUAUACAUCAUGGAGACAACACCGCUUUGAAUGAUGUCCGCUUUUUCUGUUGCAGAUUUAAGUAAUGGUCGUCUGCCAAAAAUUACACCGAUAGAUUUACUUUAUAUUACAUUCGAAACAUUUGAAACAAUUGUGUACAAAAUGUAAAACUAUAUUUUAUAACUGUGUUGCUCAAUUCUCAUUAACUGCUAUAACCAUAGUAGCUGUUUAUAAUAAACAUAUACAUAUAUUGAUGUUGCAUAUCAUUAUAUGUAACACCCCAUUAUGAAACACCAAACUUUGCAAUUUUUUUUUUGACGUUUAUAAUGUUAUGUUUAUACAGGUGCUUCAAUUUUCAUCAAAUUGUACAUGUAUUACGGCCGUGUAUAAAAGAUUGUUUGCUCGAGUUAUGAAAGCAGCAACUAUUUAUAGCCAGAAAACGCUAUAAAUAUAUGAUAUAUACCGUAUUUUAUACAUAUAUUUAAUUGAAUCAUGAAUCAAUCACAUUGUUAUAAAUACUGCUUUAUUGCUACGGUCAUUGUUUCAAUGCUUUCUUCGUUUAUGUGUAUAAUUCUUUAUUUGGUUUUAUCUUAAGUUUGUAAUCUUUACAGGGAAUACUGUUUAUAACAUUAUUGUUUUGUGAAAUAUAAAUACACAUUAUACGGAACUUUUAUGUAAUUGCCAAUCGUAAAUUUAAAAGCAACUCGGUUUUACUUUUUUUCUGGAACAGAGCAACAGGAAAUUAGUACCGGACUACAUUUCUACGAAUCAGGCGCAAGUUCAGCAAUUUUACCGUGUUAAUUCUUGUUUAAAGGUAUAUGUUUGUCCGUAAAAAAGGUGUAAAUAAAAGAAAUAUAUGCCA